GACGAAGGUGGCUAGCGUUGUUCGGUAUCACUGGGCUUAAAGCGUGUGUAGGCGGAAGCGUAAGCGUCUUGUGAAAUCCCCCGGCUCAACCGGGGAACUGUGGGGCGAACUGCGCUUCUUGAGGCAAGUAGGGGUGCAUGGAACUCUUGGUGGAGCGGUGGAGUGCGUAGAUAUCAAGAGGAACGCCAGUGGAGAAAUCGGUGCACUGGGCUUGUCCUGACGCUGAGACACGAAAGCGUGGGGAGCGAACGGGAUUAGAUACCCCGGUAGUCCACGCCGUAAACGAUGCCUACUAGGUUGUGGUGGUUCUGACACCAGCACAGCCGAAGCAAAAGUGCUAAGUAGGCCGCCUGGGGAGUACGGUCGCAAGGCUAAAACUCAAAGGAAUUGACGGGGGCUCACACAAGCGGUGGAGCAUGUGGAUUAAUUCGAAGCAACGCGCAGAACCUUACCUGGGUUUGACAUGCUUGGAUGCUUGCCUGGAAACAGGUUAAGCUGCCUUCGGGUGAAACUUGCACAGGUGCUGCAUGGCUGUCGUCAGCUCGUGUCGUGAGAUGUCGGGUUAAGUCCUUUAACGAGCGAAACCCUUGCCAUUAGUUACCAGCGGGUUAUGCCGGGAACUCUAAUGGGACUGCCGGUGUUAAACCGGAGGAAGGUGGGGAUGACGUCAAGUCAUCAUGGCCUUUAUGCCCAGGGCCUCACACGUGCUACAAUGGCGAUCACAAAGCGACGCAAGACCGCGAGGUGGAGCAAAUCGCAAAAAUAUCGCCCCAGUUCGGAUUGCAGGCUGGCAACUCGCCUGCAUGAAGUCGGAAUCGCUAGUAAUCGCGUAUCAGCUAUGACGCGGUGAAUGUGUUCCUGAGCCU
rnacentral:rRNA from 1 species